AAGGAUUUAAGUUAAUUAAACUCUUAACCUUCAAAGUUGAAAAUAGAUUUUGUCUAAGCCUUA
rnacentral:tRNA from 1 species